rnacentral:tRNA from 1 species
GGGUUAGCUAUGGGGUUCAUCCCCCACUUAUAAAGGCAAAUCCUUUUCUUUUUA